UCGGCCGUGGGAGGGGACCCCGCCCCGGGCCCGCUGCCCGCGGGCGGCCGCAACCGAGUUUGGGGAGCUGGGUUCGGUUGUCCCGCUCUCGACC